CACGCCACCACGCUGCUCUUGUACAUUAAUCUAAAAAUCACAGUAUAUAAAAGGACUACCGGUGCUUCAUUCAGACAUAACGCAAUUUGUGUGCAAAUCUAAUCUUCAUCUUCACGCUAUUCCACGAAAACAAACCAAAAAACCAAAAAUGGGUGCCGAAAAAGUAACCAUGAACAUCGUCGUCGUWGGACAAGUCCAAUCUGCCAAGGCCAUCAAAUCGGUCGCCAAAGCCACCCCAGCCAACAGCCAAUUGAUGAACUGUUAAUUCAUGAAGUCCACAUCAAUCUCAAAC